rnacentral:lncRNA from 1 species
CUUCUCUUCCUGUUAGUCACACUGGGAGGAGGGCUCAGCACAGUGGGCCGGUCAUAAAUUACCAUGUGGGUCAGAGCAGCCCAAGUGCAAUACCAAGGGAAACAUAAAUCUUGGCUCGAGUCCUGUGAACAAUUCGUGAGAAAUCCGAAUGUAUUGAAAAAUCACAUGUUUACAGAGGGAUUGGAGACUAAGCCUAUCUUUAAAUUCAGCAGGCCCAGAAUUAAUCUUGUCUUUUAUCUAAACCAGUGUGAGAACCCCAGAAUUAGAUGACUAGUCUGAAGAAAACUCGACUUUCUGACUAGAAAUUGCCCACAAAUUCAAACACAGUUGUGUGUACGAUUUCUGGAGGUUUGUGGCUACUCUGAGGUUCAUCCACAAUUCUCAGGGUACCUAUGCUGACCCCACAGCUUACGUGUUGUGAAUUGGGUUUCAAC